rnacentral:lncRNA from 1 species
CGUAGGAAUAACUAGGACAUGGUGUAUAACAGCAGACAGACUAUCCCUCCUAAGGAAUAACUAGGACAUGGGUGUAUAACAGCAGACAGAACAGCCCUCAGUAGGAAUAACUAGGACAUGGUGUAUAACAGCAGACAGAACAGCCCUCAGUAGGAAUAACUAGGACAUGGUGUAUAACAGCAGACAGAACAGCCCUCAGUAGGAAUAACUAGCCCUGGAUGGUGUUAUAACAGCAGAACAGCCCUCAGUAGGAAUAACUACGGACAUGGUGUA